GAUGAACGCUGGCGGCGCGCCUAACACAUGCAAGUCGAACGAUUAAAGCACCUUCGGGUGUGUAUAAAGUGGCGAACGGCUGAGUAACACGUGGGCAACCUGCCCCUCUCAUUGGGAUAGCCACGGGAAACCGUGGAUAAUACCGAAUACUUCGGGACUUCCGCAUGGAAGACUCGAGAAAGCUCCGGCGGAGAGGGAUGGGCCCGCGGCCUGUUAGCUUGUUGGUGGGGUAAUGGCCUACCAAGGCAAUGAUGGGUAGCUGGGUUGAGAGACCGACCAGCCAGAUUGGGACUGAGACACGGCCCAGACUCCUACGGGAGGCAGCAGUGGGGAAUCUUGCACAAUGGGCGAAAGCCUGACGCAGCGACGCCGCGUGCGGGAUGAAGGCCUUCGGGUUGUAAACCGCUUUCAGCAGGGACGAGGCGAAAGUGACGGUACCUGCAGAAGAAGCCCCGGCUAACUACGUG
rnacentral:rRNA from 1 species